UGGAAUGUUUUGAGAAAGCGAAAGUUCAAGUUAAAGCGUUGUUUAAAUCUCUAUUUUAUUUGGUGGUAAUAUUUCGGAAUAGUAUUAUUACUAUUAUCAGUAGUAUUCCAUCCGUGCAGUAAACGGAAAAGGAACAAAUAUCGAAGUGUUGACUGCAUAUCUGCUGAGGUCGUAGAUCAGAUACCGCGAGCCUGAAUAACAAGUAGGCAACUAGAAGAGAGUGUUUUUCUCACCUCGGGUCGCGGUAACAACCAUCAUCAGCGAUGGAGAUCGAUCCACGGUCGAAAUAAGAUCGAUUCAUCCAUACAACUGCUCUGCUCUGCAAGAAACAUCGGGCUGCUGUUCUAUAAAUAACCCAACAAUGAUCAAUAUCUACUGUCUCCGCUGUUUGGUCUGCUGAACAAAGGAAGAACAGAAAGAAUACCCUUACGCCUAAAUGGCUACUACUGUGUAAUUUACCAUAAUGUAAUGGAACAGAAAAACCCAACGCCUAAAUGGCUACUUAACUACUGUGUAAUUUACAAUUUAUAGAAACAUAAACAUAUGUACAUGUACACGAUUAAACCCGGCUCUGUAACAGCUAAAAUUCUAACGAGCCUAAUAAAUAAAUAAAUGGGAUAAAAAAAUUUUAAAAAAAAAUCUCGAGCAUCAUCAGAAAUUUUGAUCGACGUAUUUUAAUCAGCUACUGAUAAACGAUUAAGUGCGAUUUUAGACACCCUCCCCCUCCUCCGUGGACAAGCGUGUACAUUUCCUAUACCGCUCCCCUUGUAGGCCACCAUUUUUGGUUUUAAGUUUGUUUCUAUUUCCUUUUCUUUAUUUUUUAUUGAAAAAAUUAUAGGAGGUUGUGUCCAAGGUACGACCGAAUUGUUGACGUAGAACUAGGCUGUUAUUUUAUAUAAGUCGCUUGUUUAUACCUUCGGAUAUUAUUCUAUAAUGCUGUGAAAUUUUAGAAACAACCCAGCAAACAUUAAAUCGUAUAAUUUUGCACGUGCCAAGUCUUACAAGAAAUCCGAAUAAAUCAUAAUCGCAUAU